rnacentral:snRNA from 1 species
AUGUCUUGGUCGGCCUUUGGGCUAUGAUCAAGUGUAGUAUGUGUUGAGAUUUCUCAACAUUUUAAAGUAUUUUUGGAUAUUAUAUCGCGAUAUUAUCGAUAUUAUCGAUAAUAUAGGCGAAAUAUCGCCGAUAUUAUCGAUUUUUUC